GCGCGUACACACGCACGUACGCAUGUAAAACGACGGUUGAAAAAAACGGCUCCUCUGGACGCUUAUUUCCAGUCUUUAAGGAACAGAGGGAUGCGUCAACUGCAUACCCUUUUCACUGAUCUCGUUGAUGGCGCGUGGUCUAAAGUUGGUGCAAAUCUGUGAAUAUAACAAAACAUGUAUGUGUGCAGUGGAUCGGUAAAAAAAAAAAAAAAUAUUCAAAGUGAAGUAUUGAAAUGUUAAACGAUAUAAAAGAUAUACUUAAAAUCUUGAUCUGAAGAAUGAUCUUGCAUGAAAAAUAAAAACAUAUUUUAUUUUAGCGUGAUUCAAGCAUUUUUGGAUAACGUAAAUUAAAUUAAGAAAUUGAUAUUCAUUACCGGCCAUAUGAUCCAUACCAGUAUCCAGGCUGCCGUUGCCAUCAUCGAUGCUAAUAUGCUCUGGGAUGAUCAAGCAAGCAUACUCAAGCACGCCGCAAUGUGUAGCCAAACAGAGAGAAAUCAUUUUGAGUACUUACGAUGAUUCUGUAAAAAUAAUCGAUUAAGAUAAAAAUCAUAAGAAAGGCAAAAUGAUUAGAAAUAAGAUAAAGAAUAAUUCAAGAGAAAAAAAUCAAAAUCAUUUAAAAAUUAUAAACUAUUCCAUAUAUAAAUAAUUGCAAAUAAAAUUAACAAUCCUUCUUAAAUUUGUUUGGUGAUUAUAAUAAGUUAGAAUUCAUAUUUAUAAAAAUAUAGCAAGUAUGAUUAAAAUCUAAUGAAACCAAUUGAAAGGACAGCAGAAAGUGUCUGUUUUAAGUGUGAUUCUAGAAAAAAAGAGCCGAUCUUGGUGACGUUUUCCUUGAAUACGAUUCUACGAACCACUCUUUGGUACGUCUGUUGGCAGUGAGCCGAAUGAGACGCGCAACUGUCCCGAACAAUUCAACUUCUGAUCUUAACUUUGUAGAAUUCACUCCAUUAAAUUAAAUUUUAUUGCUCGGAUGUGAAGUAAUCGUGGAACGAGCCAAGUCGAUCGAUCCUUUUUUUGCACUAUUUGCUGGAAUUUUGUUGGGAAAUUGAAACACGUGUUUGUAUUUUUCUUUUAUUAUUUUUUUUAAUUUCAAAAUUGAAUUUAAAAGAUACAGAUGUUCAAAAAAAUAUUAAUUUCGAAAUGACCAAUCGUAGCUUAUCAGUUCAGUCAGAUAGAGCUCCCUGUUCCAAUAGUUCGAUGUAUCGGCACGAAUACUCAUAUUGGAUUGCACUCAUAUUCGCAAGAUUUUUCUAUCAUUUUUUAAUAAUACGUUAUACAUUGUACGAUAUUAGAGAUCCCCUGACUGCGUUACGUUGUUAACGAUGUAUAAUGCCUCGACAAGAUUGUCCAUUGUUUCUUCGAAACAAUGCCGAUCGUACAAUCUACUGGAAAUCCGUCAAAACUUCUGCAUUCAUGCAAUAUUACACGAACACGAUAAUAUUUAUAUUUAAAAGCGCACAAAUAACGUUUCACAAAAAAAAUAAAGGAAAUUCUCGCGCUGAAUCUUAACCAAUGUCAUGGAUCUACAUUAAAAUGUAAAAUGAAUGCGUUAUAAUUAAAGUCUUAUUGUAUACAAGUUCCUAACCUAUAAACAUAAAGUACGAAGAUACGAGAGCGGAGAAGAAAAGGGAGAAAG
rnacentral:lncRNA from 1 species